GACGAACGCUGGCGGCGUGCUUAACACAUGCAAGUCGAGCGGUAAGGCCCUUUCGAGGGUACACGAGCGGCGAACGGGUGAGUAACACGUGGGUGACCUGCCCUUAGCUCUGGGAUAAGCCUGGGAAACUGGGUCUAAUACCGGAUAUGACUCCAUGACGCAUGUUGUGGGGUGGAAAGCCUUGUGCGGCUAGGGAUGGGCCCGCGGCCUAUCAGCUUGUUGGUGGGGUGANGGCCUACCAAGGCGACGACGGGUAGCCGGCCUGAGAGGGCGACCGGCCACACUGGGACUGAGACACGGCCCAGACUCCUACGGGAGGCAGCAGUGGGGAAUCUUGCGCAAUGGGCGAAAGCCUGACGCAGCGACGCCGCGUGAGGGAUGACGGCCUGGU
rnacentral:rRNA from 1 species